rnacentral:rRNA from 1 species
AAUCAACGCUGGCGGCGUGCCUAACACAUGCAAGUCGAACGAGAAAGUGGAGCAAUCCAUGAGUAAAGUGGCGCACGGGUGAGUAACACGUGACUAACCUACCCUUGAGUGGGGGAUAACCUAGGGAAACCUGGGCUAAUACCGCAUAAUACCUUCGGGUCAAAGGAGCAAUUCGCUUAAGGAGGGGGUCGCGGCCGAUUAGUUAGUUGGCGGGGUAAUGGCCCACCAAGACUGUGAUCGGUAUCCGGCCUGAGAGGGCGCACGGACACACUGGAACUGAAACACGGUCCAGACUCCUACGGGAGGCAGCAGUGGGGAAUUUUGCGCAAUGGGGGAAACCCUGACGCAGCAACGCCGCGUGGAGGAUGAAGCCCCUUGGGGCGUAAACUCCUUUCGAUCGGGAAGAUAAUGACGGUACCGAGAGAAGAAGCCCCGGCUAACUUCGUGCCAGCAGCCGCGGUAAUACGAGGGGGGCGAGCGUUGUUCGGAAUUAUUGGGCGUAAAGGGUGCGUAGGCGGUUCAGUAAGUCUUGUGUGAAAUCUUCGGGCUCAACUCGAAGUCUGCAUGAGAAACUGCUG